rnacentral:rRNA from 1 species
UGAGGAAUAUUGGUCAAUGGACGAGAGUCUGAACCAGCCAAGUAGCGUGAAGGAUGAAGGUUCUAUGGAUUGUAAACUUCUUUUAUACGGGAAUAAACGAAUCCACCCGUGGAUUUUUGCAUGUACCGUAUGAAUAAGGAUCGGCUAACUCCGUGCCAGCAGCCGCGGUAAUACGGAGGAUCCGAGCAUUAUCCGGAUUUAUUGGGUUUAAAGGGAGCGUAGAUGGGUUGUUAAGUCAGUUGUGAAAGUUUGCGGCUCAACCGUAAAAUUGCAAUUGAUACUGGCAGUCUUGAGUACAGUUGAGGUAGGCGGAAUUCGUGGUGUAGCGGUGAAAUGCUUAGAUAUCACGAAGAACUCCGAUUGCGAAGGCAGCUUACUAACCUGUAACUGACAUUGAUGCUCGAAAGUGUGGGUAUCAAACAGGAUUAGAUACCCUGGUAGUCCACACGGUAAACGAUGAAUACUCGCUGUAGGCGAUAUACGGUCUGCGGCCAAGCGAAAGCAUUAAGUAUUCCACCUGGGGAGUACGCCGGCAACGGUGAAACUCAAAGGAAUUGACGGGGGCCCGCACAAGCGGAGGAACAUGUGGUUUAAUUCGAUGAUACGCGAGGAACCUUACCCGGGCUUAAAUUGCAACCGAAUAUGGCGGAAACGCCAUAGCUAGCAAUAGCGGUUGUGAAGGUGCUGCAUGGUUGUCGUCAGCUCGUGCCGUGAGGUGUCGGCUUAAGUGCCAUAACGAGCGCAACCCUUGCCGAUAGUUACUAACAGGUUAUGCUGAGGACUCUGUCGGGACUGCCAUCGUAAGAUGUGAGGAAGGUGGGGAUGACGUCAAAUCAGCACGGCCCUUACGUCCGGGGCUACACACGUGUUACAAUGGGGGGUACAGAGGGCUGCUACCACGCAAGUGGAUGCCAAUCCCAAAAACCUCUCUCAGUUCGGAUUGAAGUUUGCAACCCGACUUCAUGAAGCUGGAUUCGCUAGUAAUCGCGCAUCAGCCACGGCGCGGUGAAUACGUUCCC